UACGGGGGGUGCGAGCGUUGUCCGGAAUCACUGGGCGUAAAGGGCGCGUAGGUGGUUUGAUAAGGGUGUGGUGAAAGCCCGGGGCUCAACCCCGGGUCUGCCGUGCCGACUGUCAAACUCGAGGGCUGUAGAGGCAGACGGAAUUCCGGGUGUAGCGGUGGAAUGUGUAGAGAUCCGGAGGAAGACCGGUGGCGAAGGCGGUCUGCUGGGCAGUUUCUGACACUGAUGCGCGACAGCGUGGGGAGCAAACAGG
rnacentral:rRNA from 1 species